rnacentral:rRNA from 1 species
GUCUACAUGAAAGAUGUUUGUAGUCCGGCCUGCUCACUGAGUAAAUAUCUUAAAGAGCCGCGGUAUACUGACCGUGCAAAGGUAGCAUAAUCAUUAGUUUUUUAAUUGGAAACUUGUAUGAAUGGUUAAACAAAAGAAUCUCUGUCUCUUUAUCUAGUUUUGAAUUUAACUUUUAAGUGAAAAGGCUUAAAUUUUUUAAGGGGACGAUAAGACCCUAUAAAGCUUUAUAAUGAAAUUAUAUUUUUUUAGUGUAAUUAAUAAAGAAAAAUAAAGUAACUUUAUUUUGUUGGGGCGACAUAUAUAUAAAUAUUUCAUAUAACUGUCAUAAUAUAACACAUAAAUUUAUGAAGAAAAUAAAUGAUCCUUAUUUGAAGAUUAAAAGACUAAGUUACUUUAGGGAUAACAGCGUUAUUUCUUUUAAGAGUUCUUAUUGAAAAAGAAGUUUGCGACCUCGAUGUUGAAUUAAAGAAUCUUUAUAGUGCAGCCGCUAUAAGAAGAAGGUCUGUUCGACCUGUAAAUCUUU